rnacentral:rRNA from 1 species
CCCUUAGAUGUUCUGGGCUGCACACGUGCUACACUGGCAGGUUCAGCGAGCUUCAUGCCCUGAUCUGAAAGGAAUGGGAAAUCUUUUCAAAACCUGCCGUGCUUGGGAUAGAUGUUUGCAAUUAUUCAUCUUCAACGAGGAUUGCCUUGUAAGCGCACGUCAUCAGCGUGCAUUGAAUACGACCCUGUAUUCUGUACACACCGCCCGUCGCUACUACCGAUUGAAGUUUUCGGUGAGUUGACAGGAGGAUUUUUUUGAAACUGGUUCGCCAGUGGAUUUUAGAUCCAAAUGCCAACGAAUCGAUGGCUUUAGAGGAAGGAGAAGUCGUAACA